rnacentral:rRNA from 1 species
AAGCUCGUAGUUGAAUUUCGGGAUUAGUACGUCGGUCGUACCUUAGGUACGUACUGGUGUUACUGGUUCCUACCUUCUGACGAACCAUCAUGUCAUUAAUUUGGUGUGGUGGGGAAUCAGGACUUUUACCUUGAGAAAAUUAGAGUGUUCAAAGCAGGCCUAUGCCCGAAUACAUUAGCAUGGAAUAAUAAAAUAGGACGUGCGGUUCUAUUUUGUUGGUUUCUAGAGUCGCCGUAAUGAUUAAUAGGAUAGUUGGG